AUUGAACGCUGGCGGAAUGCUUUACACAUGCAAGUCGAACGGCAGCACGGGGGCAACCCUGGUGGCGAGUGGCGAACGGGUGAGUAAUACAUCGGAACGUGCCCAGUCGUGGGGGAUAACGUAGCGAAAGUUACGCUAAUACCGCAUACGAUCUACGGAUGAAAGCGGGGGACCGUAAGGCCUCGCGCGAUUGGAGCGGCCGAUGUCAGAUUAGGUAGUUGGUGAGGUAAAGGCUCACCAAGCCGACGAUCUGUAGCUGGUCUGAGAGGACGAACAGCCACACUGGGACUGAGACACGGCCCAGACUCCUACGGGAGGCAGCAGUGGGGAAUUUUGGACAAUGGGCGCAAGCCUGAUCCAGCCAUUCCGCGUGCAGGACGAAGGCCUUCGGGCUGUAAACUGCUUUUGUACGGAACGAAAAGGCUCUGGUUAAUACCUGGGGCUCAUGACGGUACCGUAAGAAUAAGCACCGGCUAACUACGUGCCAGCCGCCGCGGUAA
rnacentral:rRNA from 1 species